GGGUAAGGUCAGAACCACUUGACCCUCCAGGCUGAGCAUUAGGUGCUGGGAUUUUUGCAGAGCUGAGAUGCUGCUUCUAGACGCAGUGUGAGUGGGGGCUUACCCAGUAGAACAGCAGAUGGUGAAAGGAGGAGCAGGCAGUGGAGCACAGAGAUGGCAGAGUGCAUGUUUACAUGGCCUUUAAAGACAUCUUUGUUCUGCCAAAUCUCACGAGCUAGAGCUCUGGUUACGCAAUAACAGCAUGGAGGAGUAUGUCCGGUACCCAGGGAUGCUUGUUGAUCUCCUUCAACCAGUGUUACCUGUAAACACACAAGUACUGAGGCCCUGGCUGGAUAAAGCAUGGCGACCAAGAGCUCAGACUACUCAGAAAUAAAGGAUAAUCACACCGCCAGGAACCUGCAGUGUCAUACAGUUUCAAGAAGAUAAAUAUUAGUCAAGAUGGCCCAUGGUAUUAAGAGAGAAGUGAAGUCAAGUGGAUUAAACAUUUUAGAAACAGCCUUACUUUGAGGAAUUAAGAUAGAUUCCGGUUGCCAGUGAAAAUGAUAGUGGAAGGAAAACGUCAACUGCUGGUUAGCCUGGUUACGCUGUGCUCUGAAAUGUCUUUUGUUAACGUGAUCUCUCUAUUGAGAACUCCAUUACCCUGUGUUUAAAACAAAGGCGCCCCAUUCAAAGCAGGCUAUAAUUGUAGUCUUUCAGCAAAACAGCAUUUACGAAAAUAUGCCUUUCAGAACUUGGUACAAUUUAUCACCCCCAUGGUGCAUGACACACAAUUACAUUUGUCACUGCUUUUAUUGGAUAUUACAUGUCAGUAAUGAGUCAUCAGCUCCAGAAGUUAUGAAAGAUGGAAUUUUUUACUACUAGAUUUCUGAGUUUGCUCCAAAAAUAAAACUAAAACUCGUGUAUGCCUCAGUAAGGGUAGAAGCUACAUUCGGGAGAAACAUUAAUCCCUGUUUUAGAAAAAUAACGAUGUAUUCCAUUUAUUGACAGCAAGAUGAUUGCCUACAGUGUUUCUCGUUACCUCUAGAUCACAAAUGAGUAAAUCACUAUCAGACAAACCAAGGUUAAAACUGAGUGUGUUUUAACAUUGUAACAAGGUGCAGCAAUAAAUAAAUAAAUAAAAUCAACAACAACAACAACAAAAACUCUAUCACCAAGAGAGGACUGUUAAUUCAGAGAUUUUUUUUCCCCUUAGAUUCUGUGAUGUGAUAAGCACGGCAGCUCAGUCAUCGCUGAAAUUAAAUUAGGUUUUAGAAAAUGAAUAUUUCAUUUUUAAGAUCCUGUUGCUUGGAGACCUGGGAAGAAAAGGCUAGUUUAGCCCAAGAUGGGAGAGAUGUUAUGAGGGCCAGCAUUUUCUGCUCCUGGAAACGGCUGGAGAACGCUGAGGAAAAAUUACAUAAGGGAGGCAAAACAAUGAUGAUCGUACAAAUGGGCUCGUUAUAAAUAUGCCACAAUGCAUGUCAUUUCUUCCAAGCUAAAGAAGUCUCUCUCCACCCUUCACCUGUAGUAAUAAGAUUGAAAUUGGGCACAGUAUCAUGAUGCCAUAAACACAAUCUACCUUUUGUUUUAACAGACACAUUUUUUAAAAAGACAAAACAAAUGUAGACUCGGUGGCAAAACAAAGCAUGCUUUUCUUUGCAAGGAGGCUCAACAAGUAAUAGAGAUACAGAAACUCAUAUCUAUUAUGUUGGACAGAGCUGCACUCACCUGGCUGCAUUUUAAUAAGCCUCAUAAAAAUUGAAUAUGCUUUGCUUUCAUUGCCAUUGAAGCUAGAGCAGUUUUAAGAGAGCUUCCAUUUGGGGGACAUGGUAGAAUGCUAAUUGUUUCCUGAAAGGAAAGCUCAGAAUCUCUUGAGCUUUACCUGGGUACAUGGAUACCCAUGUAAAGAUUACUUUUCCCAGCCUCCCUGGUAGGUAGGUGUGACCAUGUGAAUAUGUUUUGAUCAGUGAGAUGCAGGCAGAAGCCAUGUAUGCAAAUUGCAG